UAGGGAAUAUUAGUAAUGGGCGAAAGCCUGAACUAGCAACGCCGCGUGUGCGAAGAAGGCCUUCGGGUUGUAAAGCACUUUUUGAGAGGAUGAGGAAGGACGGUGCUCUCAGAAUAAGUCUCGGCUAACUACGUGCCAGCAGCCGCGGUAACACGUAGGAGGCGAACGUUAUCCGGAUUUACUGGGCGUAAGGCGCGUGUAGGUGGUCUGGUAAGUAGGGCGUGAAAGCUCCUGGCUCAACUGGGAGAGGCCGUUCUAAACUGCCGAACUAGAGGAUGGUAGAGGGAGGUGGAAUUCCGGGUGUAGCGGUGGAAUGCGCAGAUAUCCGGAGGAACACCAGUGGCGAAAGCGGCCUCCUGGACCAUUCCUGACACUCAGACGCGAAAGCUAGGGUAGCAAACGG
rnacentral:rRNA from 1 species